GAAGCUGUAGGGUCGAGUGGUUAAGGCGAUAGACUUGUAAUGUUUUGGGAUCUUCCCGCACAGGUUCGAAUCCUGCCGGCAUCG
rnacentral:tRNA from 1 species